rnacentral:ncRNA from 1 species
ACCUCAUAACACCUGCCGGGUGCCAGUCUUCCCGGAUGGAGCGGCUUAAAGGCGAAACCGGUGCAAGUCCGGUGCUGUCCCGCAGCUGUAAGGAGGGCGAAUGCCCUCCAAGCCAGAUCGCCCGCCCGGUAGGGGUUCGCCAA